GUUUCCUGGCGGAGCGAUAUUUGUUUACUGGCUGAGGGCAGUACUGGGAGUGAGUAGCUCUGCCAGAAGGCGGCUGACAUAAAUUAAUAUUGAAAUUACUCCAUCAGCCCCACCGGCCCCCUGUCGCACCCCCCAAGCGGAGACUGGGCUUCCUGUCUUUUUGCCAUGCACUUGUUGCAGAAGCAGCCAAGGCCCCGGCUCCGGAGGAUGCAGAAGGAGGAAGGCACCAGAGUAGCCCGGCCCUGAACGCACCACCCUCACCUCCUGCAACAGGUAGCGUCUCUGGGGUUCUUGGCACCAGAACAGUGUGUGGCAAAGGGUGUGUGCAGCCUCUUCUCACUGUGGUGGCAUUUGGUCUGGACCUCAGCGUGGGUGAGGAUGUAAAACCCCCCGCUCUGCACAUGCGUGGUCCAGGCCAGCAGGAACCCCCAGCCCCGGCCACCCUCACGCACAUGUCAGCCGUGGAGUAG
rnacentral:lncRNA from 1 species